rnacentral:rRNA from 1 species
AACGAACGCUGGCGGCAGGCUUAACACAUGCAAGUCGAGCGCCCCGCAAGGGGAGCGGCAGACGGGUGAGUAACGCGUGGGAAUCUACCCAUCUCUACGGAAUAACGCAUGGAAACGUGUGCUAAUACCGUAAACGUCCUUCGGGAGAAAGAUUUAUCGGAGAUGGAUGAGCCCGCGUUGGAUUAGCUAGUUGGUGGGGUAAAGGCCUACCAAGGCGACGAUCCAUAGCUGGUCUGAGAGGAUGAUCAGCCACACUGGGACUGAGACACGGCCCAGACUCCUACGGGAGGCAGCAGUGGGGAAUAUUGGACAAUGGGCGCAAGCCUGAUCCAGCCAUGCCGCGUGAGUGAUGAAGGCCUUAGGGUUGUAAAGCUCUUUCACCGGUGAAGAUAAUGACGGUAACCGGAGAAGAAGCCCCGGCUAACUUCGUGCCAGCAGCCGCAGGUAACAC